AUCAUCGCGACGAUCGGUGGGUAAUGCUAUAAGCAACCUCGUUUGAAGUCGUGCGCAUUCGUCGAUCGAGACCCUUGAACCCUUUCGGCAUCGCAAGGACGGUGCUCGCAUCGCGACCCCAAGUCAGGCGGGAUUACCCGCUGAUUUUAAGCAUAUCAAUAAGCGGAGGAAAAGAAACUUACUAGGAUUCCCCUAGUAACGGUGAGCGAACCGGGAAAAGCCCAACUUCAGAAUCGGUCGCCAUCGGCGUCUGAAUUGUAGUCUGUAGAAGCGUCCUCAGUGACGGACCAGGCCUAUUUCCCCUGGAAAGGGGCGCCGGAGAGGGUUAGAGCCCAGUCAUGCUCGGAUCCUGUCGCACCACGAGGCACUGUCUACGAGUUAGGUUGUUUGGGAAUGCAGCCCUAAUCGGGCGGUAAAUUCCGUCCAAGGCUAAAUACGGGCGAGAGACUGAUAGUGAACAAGUACCACGAGGGAAAGAUGAAAAGGACUUUGAAAAGAGUGUCAAAGAGUGCUUGAAAUCGUCAGGAGGGAAGCGGAUGGGGGAUGGUGAUGCACUGAUACGGCCACGCCUCAAGUCCUACCUAGCUCGAACAAGGAGCCGUUAGACUUGCCCCAAGGUCCCAUCACCCGAUCACGAGCUAAACAAUUCAAGGAUGCUGUUUCGGCUUUAGUUGACAAAGUUUGGGGUGAGAUCUUGGUUGGUCACAUCGAGGAAGCUUGGACCAACUCGAAAAGCAAUCCGUGCACUUUAAUACGAGCUGAAUUAACUUCCAUUUCAGCUCAAUGAGCUCGAAUUAGCUUAACUUCAGCUCAAACAUUUUCAAUUCAGCUCAAUAUCAACUAGACAUUAAUUUAAUAGCUGAAUAUUUAUUUAAGUCGAUUUAAUUAGUUUAUUACAGCUUUUUAAUAUGUUUGUUGCAUGUUUUUAAUAUGUCAAGUUUUAUUACAUGAUUUAAAGUUGCUUUAAUGCUGCCGAAUUUAAUGAGCUGAUUUUAGUGAUAUAGUUGACCGAAUUAAUGUUUCAUGGUUUUAAUAUUAAUUUUGUUCAGCUAAAUAUCAUAUUAAUUUUAGUUCUUCUUAUUUAUAUAGGUUAGCCAAAUGUGUGGGAUCAUUUAACAAGGUUAGCCGAAUUUGGAGAUUCAUUUUAGCAAGGUGCAUGCAUGUUAGAUACAUUGCAGUUGGAGAUACAUGCGUCAAAUUGGUGAGCUGAAUUCAACAUUCCUAGGUGACUAUUCGGCCAAGGGAGCUAAUGUUUCCAACUCCAAAGCUGCCCAUUAAUUCCUUUCACAUUUGCUGGAUGCAUCUUGUCUUUUCGGUUCCAUGUGUUCACACUCCAUGACUCUUCAAUGUUGAGCUUUCACACUUGAAUUGGCUGCUCAUUAUCCUCUUAAUUGCUGGUCACUUUUUAGCCAAAAGUUGCAACAUAAAUGAGCUAAUUUAUGCCCAUUGGCCGAACCUAGCUAUCCAUGCAUCAUCCAAGCUUUUCCAAGUCCAAUGCUUCAUCUAGAAGGUGUCUAAUGGAGCUCCAUGUUCAGCCGAAUCUAGCUAGUUCAUUUAAGUGAUUCAUUUGCUUAAUUUUUAAGGAAUGUAAGUGGCCAUUCGACUAGCUUAGGUGUUGCUUAUAAAUAGCUGAAAUUUUACUUUGUAAAGGACUUUUGACAUUUUAAGUAACGAAUUGCUGCCAAAUUUGUGAGGCAUUUUCUCUCAAAUUUCGUUCGAGACCCGUAAGACUUAUCUAGCUUCUAGUGGCAUCUUUCUGAGUCUUUCUUUCGAACUUAUCACUCCCUAAACCCGAGUGUAGCGUUCACCUUUGAUACCUUUGGUUCAUACUUUACUAAGUAUCGGGUCAAGGUCCUUAUCAACCAUUUCCAACUCAAUUUGGUCCUAUAAGUUUCGGGUCAACACUCUUCUUUAGUGUUGGUUCACUCUUAACCUUUUUGAACCAUUACCAUUUCGUACCAAAUCCCUUACCAUUUCGUACCAAUUCCCAAAUACCAAAACAUACCAAAACCAAAUACCAUUUCUUAAUUAAUCCUAAACCGAACUCAACCAUUCUAGUCAUACCAUUUAGACUUAAACCAAAUCCACAUCCAAAUUUGCACGGAUUUACUUUACUUCUUUGAACUCAAAUAUAUUCUAUCUUCUUCUUGUCUAGUAUACUUCUUCGUUUACGGUCGGGAACUAAACGAAUCGGGUUCAACUACUAAACCGAGAUCGUAUCAUGCACCUCGGUCGGAUGUGGAACGGAGAGAGCCGGUCCACCGAUCAGCUCGAGGCGUGGACCGAUGCGAGUCAUGGAGGCGGCCCAAGCUCGGGCCUAUGAUACGCCCAUGGAGACAUCGUUGCCUCGAUCGUGGGAUCAGCACGCGCCGUCUUGGCGUGCUUCGGCACCUUCGUGCUCUGGGCGUCGGCCUGCGGGCUCCCCAUUCAGCCCGUUUUGAAACACAGACCAAGGAGUCUGACAUGUGUGCAAGUCAAUGGGCUAGAAAACCCGUAAGGC
rnacentral:lncRNA from 1 species